CAGCCGCCGCGGUAAAACGGAGGGUGCAAGCGUUAAUCGGAAUUACUGGGCGUAAAGCGUGCGUAGGCGGUUCGUUAAGUCUGUUGUGAAAGCCCCGGGCUCAACCUGGGAAUGGCAAUGGAUACUGGCGAGCUAGAGUGUGUCAGAGGAUGGUGGAAUUCCCGGUGUAGCGGUGAAGUGCGUAGAGAUCGGGAGGAACAUCAGUGGCGAAGGCGGCCAUCUGGGACAACACUGACGCUGAGGCACGAAAGCGUGGGGAGCAAACAGGAUUAGAUACCCCCGUAGUCCCUGUCUCUUAUAC
rnacentral:rRNA from 1 species